GAUGAACGCUGGCGGCGUGCCUAAUACAUGCAAGUCGAGCGAACGGACGAGAAGCUUGCUUCUCUGAUGUUAGCGGCGGACGGGUGAGUAACACGUGGAUAACCUACCUAUAAGACUGGGAUAACUUCGGGAAACCGGAGCUAAUACCGGAUAAUAUUUUGAACCGCAUGGUUCAAAAGUGAAAGACGGUCUUGCUGUCACUUAUAGAUGGAUCCGCGCUGCAUUAGCUAGUUGGUAAGGUAACGGCUUACCAAGGCAACGAUGCAUAGCCGACCUGAGAGGGUGGUCGGCCACACUGGAACUGAGACACGGUCCAGACUCCUACGGGAGGCAGCAGUAGGGAAUCUUCCGCAAUGGGCGAAAGCCGGACGGAGCAACGCCGCGUGAGUGAUAAAGGUCUUCGGAUCGUAAAACUCUGUUAUUAGGGAAGAACAUAUGUGUAAGUAACUGUGCACAUCUUGACGGUACCUAAUCAGAAAGCCACGGCUAACUACGUG
rnacentral:rRNA from 1 species